rnacentral:tRNA from 1 species
UGGCUCAGUUGGUAGAGCAUGUAGUUCACAACGCCAGGGUUGUGGGUUCAAUUCCCAC